rnacentral:lncRNA from 1 species
AGAAAAGAAGCCACGCUGCUUAAAGCAACAAGAACUUGGAAACUGCUCCCCUGAUUGGCUGAGCUGAUCUGACUUUGAACCACACGCUCCCUGCUUCCUCUCGGCCACUCCCCAGACCGAGAAUACUCUUCUUUCCCCCUUUAAUUCCCCGCAGAACAGGCCUGCGCAGAGCUUGUUUGAGGCUGGGGACAGGAGCCACGUUUCACCCUUUAAGUGCACCGUUGGCUGGGAGGCAUGGGCUGCUCUUGCCAUGGCAGUGUAAGUCCGGCAGGUCCCUGGCUGCCCCACCCCAACUCAGCCCUCCAAGGCACGUGUACUCCAAGGCCAUCCUUCCGCCCUUGCUCAGAGGAUGGACUCAGGAUCUGAGUCAGUUCGUAUGGGGAGAGGCAGGCCUUGAAGUCCUGCAGUCCUGAGCAAUUUAAGGCUUUAUAGGCCAAAGCCAGCACUUUGAAUUGGGCCUAGGAGCUAACUGGCAGCCAGUGCAGUCAGGCCAGGCUUUGUCAAAGCAUCUUGCCCCUUUGAGCAACCUGGCUGCUGAAUUGUGCACCAAACCAUCUUCAGAGGCAGCCCAUAUAUAACGCACAAAUCUGUAGUUUGUGAGAGAAUUGUUAGCAGACCCCAUCCCCCCCCCCGAACUACAGUCCUCAGAGUGGUCUAACAAUCAAUUUCCCUUUGCAGGGAACUCUGGGAAUCAUAGCUCUGGGGGGCGGGGUGAGGUAUCAGCAUCCAUAGCAAACUACCGUUCCCAGGAUUUGGGGGACAAUGUGACAGCUUAAAGUGGUGUGAUGCUGCUUUAAAUGUAUAGAGGGAUUUAUACCCCACUUUUUAAUAGAGUCCUUCAGGUGGCUAACAGUGUUAGUCAAAUGCAACAGAUACACCAAAAUACCAAACCAACCCAGCCCUAGGCAGCCCCACUGGAGCAGGAGCAGCCAGAUGCUCCGUCACAUAUGGCAGUUGCUGUAAGUUGGCUCUGUGAGGGUCAGAGAAGUGCGUCCAACUGGGGCCGGCCCCAAUGCUGCGCCUGCCUGCCCGCCCAACUCCCCCCCCUUCUUCUUCCAUGGGGAUUACAGCCGAGGAAAGUCAACGUGCAAUAAGGACAUAUCACCACGUAGAGUAGGGAGACUGGGACGGUAAUAUAUUACGCUAGGGACAUAGGUGGAACAAAGUGACAUCAAUAUUAUGACUGCAGCCCUUAAAAACAGCAACCUUAAUUGGUUUAUUAUAAGAGUCUUAGUUAACCUAUUGAUUAAAUUUGCAUCAAUAUGCAUAAGGGCAGGAAGACCUCCCUUAUUUUUAAAUAAUGCAUUCACAAUUCCUAGAAGGUAUCGUUUAGAAGAGGCAUUUCCUUCUAUGUAUAUGAUCCACAGAUUAUAUAAUUAUUUUUAAAAGAUGAAUGGGACGUGCACAUUCACAUAAGGUACUUCUAUAUGAUUUUGGGCUAUCCUGCCUUUCACCCUGCAGUCCAUGCUGUUCAAGAGAGUCUCCUCGAGAAUGGCUUUUCCAGGACUACAGAGGAGUCAGGGGUGGGGAAGAGAGGAUAAGAAAGAAUUCACACAACCUUUGGAUCCAACUCAAUGUUGAUAAAGAUUAAAAUCAGCUGCUAUAUUAGUUGGAGGUUCCUUUUUAUUCCAUUUUGAUUACACACUGCAGCCCUAACCCUAAUUUUGAUAAUGCCCUUCUCAUUCCCAGCAUCUGACAACAAUUCCUUCCACAAUAUAAACAUGGCUCCUCUCGGAUGACUUUGACUCCCAACACUUGAAAAUGCUGUAGAGAUGCUAUCUAUCAUCACCAAAAUCCAACCUUGGAAAGCAUGAUCCACCUUAUCUCACAAGUAAAGGUGUGGGAAAGAUAUUCUUUCAUGACUUGCAAAAGCAGCACCACACAUAACAAGAGGGGAAAGGGGAAGGAAACCGACAGCCAACCACAGUUAUGAGAGACAACCUGCACAGUGAACCAAGUGCCAAGACAGUUACAAAUAGCCAGGUGCGUACAGAGGAAUACCAAUCAAGAUCUCUUCCUUCUCCCUAAUCUCUAUAAGGUGCCACUUUUCAAAUAGCGCUUCAGGGUAGCUUGAUAAUUGCUUCUUUUAAAAUACCUAAAUUAAAUAUACAUCUGUAAUGCCAGGCACAUUUGUCUCAUACCUUUUUUCAGCAGCAUGACACUUUUUAAAGUAGUGUUGCUGAUUUAUUACCAAUAUGACUUGAUUUUCAGUCAUUUCUGUGAUUUAUAAAUCAGGACUUUACAUACUCUGGGUAUUAAGGUCUAUUUUAUGAAUCCCAGUUUAUUUGUUAAAGAAGACUGAUUUAGUGGACAGAUUUAUUAAUCACUGCUUGGAAAUUCAAGCUAAAGUCUUGGUUUAAAGUCUUACAUUUCUAAAUUAGAUGCUUAAAUCAAAUUCCAAUUUAUACAUAAUGGGCUUGGUUACAAGGGAUGUGCAGGGAAGUCAUACAUCUGCUACCUGCUUCUACCUGAGGAUACAAAAAUAUGUCAUGUUCAUCACGAGUAACUUAGUUAUUACCAGCCUAGCUGGAAAUGAAGCUACUUUUAAUCAAAAUCUUGCCCCCAGUUAGAAUUGCUACAUCUUGGGGUCAGAAAUUUCCUUCAUUACCAAAGGCUACAGCCUUCAGUCCACAGACUCCAAAGACACUUAUUCUUCUGCAGUUUCAUUUAAGUCAAUAGAAUUACUCCAGAACUAUUUCAAAAGUAAUUAGUAUGAGACUGCAGCAUAAAUGGCAAAUCUUUCCCCUCCACCCCAGUGCUUGGUGGCCUUGGUUGUAGUACUGUAGGAAUGUGUUGUAUUUUAAAGGCAUGGCAUCUAUCUAUAUCUAUCUAUCUAUCAUCUAUCUAUCUAUCUAUCUAUCUAUCUAUCUAUCUAUCUAUUCCCUAUUGUCCCCCAGUAAGGGUUCAGGGAGCACACUCAUCAUGCUAAAUCCCCCAGAUCCAGAAAAGAGGUCUAUGUCAGAAAGAAUCCAGGAGGAGUUGGAAGGCUAAGCUGAGUCAGGAGGGGAGCAGCCUUAAUGCUGGCUGUGGGAGCCAGUCUGCUGCCACUACCAUUGGCUGGUUCACUUUACCCAGCGAUAGAUUUCCUCCUGACGGACAGCUUGCUUAUGAGUAGCAGGAAAGUGAAGCACUGGAUAUGAUUAGGGAGCCACAUGUAAAAGCCAGAGGAAGGAGAUAACCAAGUGGAAGCUCUUUUCCGUCCAGCCAAAAUCACGGAGUUUGGAAAGGACCCUGAGGGUCAUCUAGUCCAACCACUCCAGUGCAGGAGUCUCAUCUAAAGCAUCCAUGUCAGAUGGCCACCUCUGCUUAAAACCUCCAAAGAAGGAAAGUCUGCCACCUUCUCAGUUAGUCCGUUCCACUGUCAAACAGCUCUUACCAACAGAAAGUUUUUUCCUGAUUUUUGGUUGGAAUCUUUCUUGUAACUUGAAGCCAUUGCUUCAGAAAACUGGACACACUACUCCACGUGUGGUCUGAUCAAGGCAGAAUACAGCUGUACUAUUACUUCCCUCGAUCUGGACACUAUACUUCUGUUGAUGCAGCCUAGAAAAGCAUUAGCUUUUUCCGCUGCGGCAUCACAUGGUUGACUCAUAUUCUCCAAUCUGUGAAGGUUAUCUUGAAUCCCAAUUCUGUCUUUAGUGGCACUGACUACCCCUCCCAGUUUGGUGUCAUCUGCAGAUUUUAUGAGCAUCCCCUCAAUUCCGUCAUCCAAGUUGUUUAUAAAGAUGCUGAACUUCAAUAGACCCAGGGCAAAACCCUGUGGCACCCCACAUGUCGUUUCCCCCAGGAUGACGAAGAACCAUUAACAAGAACUCUUGGGGUUCACUCAGUCAACCAGCUAGAAGUCCACCUAACAGUCACCAACCCAAAUUUUACCAGCUUCUCUGAAAGAAUAUAAUGAGGGACUUGCCAAAAGCCUUACUGAAAUCAAGAUGUACUAUAUGAAAGCGGCUUGUGCAAUGCCUCUUCUUCAAAUUUUAAUAUAACAUAAGAGAUCUAAUGGGUUAUACGAAAGCUGCACCUAGUCCACAAUACAAUUCCCGACCAGUGGAAUUUGUUCAACACAAUCAAAAUGACCAACACCUUGGUCAUUUUGAUUGUGCUUUUCUGAUCCAUUUCAUAAACUUGCUAUCCAGUAGUAAUUGGAUAAUGUGUCAGGAAAGCCAGCUUGGCCUUAUGUGUUUUACUUUCACUGAUUGGAGGAUAGAUAUGCAACCAGUGGUUUCCAAAGACCAAAACUGCAAAACUGGUUGGUCAAAAUAGCAUCAACACAGAGCAAUGAACUAAAGCAGGAUGUGUGGGAAACUGCUGGUCCAUUACUCAUUUUCAUCUGUCACAUGGCCUUUCCUCCUUGGCCUUCUCUAUCUCCUCUUUUCCUCUAUGCUUCCUCAGCCCUGGAAUAAAGCAUUACAGUACCAGCAAUCUGAGAAGAAGCAGGAAUCCCAAGAGUUUUUUCAGGUACAAAUUUGUGUCUCCCUGUUUUCUUUUAUAAAGUUUUCUGUACCUUGCAGAUGGUCUAGUUAGGCUUCGCUCUGACACCAGGGGAAGAUAACUGGCAGUCUAGAUACCAAUCUCUUUGCCCAGCACCAGCUAGUGACCCUGAUCACUAAUAUCACAAUCUGGACAUCACUUACUGUUUAAUCAAAAUACAAACAUGAAAUGUUGCAUAUGUCCUUGUCAGAAUGCAGAGGCACCUUGAGAAGAUUGGGAGGAAUUCUUUCUUGUACACAGUCAUGCCAGCGAAAAUAUGUACCACAUUGUAGAGAGCAUGAUUGCACCUUGAAAGUACAUGAAAACGUUGUGUGGGGGAUGUUACUUGACAAAACUUGGAUGGUGGACCUACAUAGGAUAUCUGAAAUGCAGAUGCAAAUCUUUACGAAUUGUGUGUGCCAACAGCAGGAGACAUAAAGAUGAGACUAACAUUUUCCUUCGCACAAGGUGCUGGCAUGAUAGAGCAGGGGCUUCUGCAGUGAUAUUUUGGAGCUACUUCACAUCAGAUGCCAAAUGUUUGAUUUGGAAAAUCAUUAGCAGACAUUAUCCUUGAGGUUGUGUGACUGGGGACUUGAUGAGCAGUAGCAGCAGCAACCUCCCAACCCAUCCUCUUACGAAAUAACUCUUCAGUGUAGAAAGCUUUCCUUUUGUGUUCAUCCAGGUUCUCUGUGUUUUCUCUGCUGCAAUCCCUCCACAUCUGUUCAACAAGCCCAUCUCCAGCUGAGAAGAAGGUACUGAUAGAUUGCACAGCCAUGUUGCACAUUCUGUUGUUCUUGGCAGUAGCUUCCCCUUUUGCAGCAUCCAAAAGUGCACAGUAGCUGCAAGUGCUACAUUCUCUCCUGCACAUUGAGACAAAUUGGAUGGCUUUGAUAUGACAUGGACCAGCACAAAAGGCGUCGAGUCUGUCCCUGGAGGCAUCAGCUGGCACUGCGCAGAACAUCUUAAGCAGCACGUGACGUUCUGAUGGGAUGGUGGUAGCAGAAGUUAAAAGUAAGAAUUGCCUCUCAGAAAUUAGGAUUUCAGCAUCGUAGCCUUUACAAACAGAUUAAAACUUAACUAAGGUGAAACUGCCUGUUGAACAUGCAAAGCAAAAUCAAUGAGAGAUUUCUUCUAUUUCUAGGAAAGGGAAACCAAGCAGACUGCAAGUUUAUCCAGGUCAAUCAGAGUUCUCAACUCAGCUCAGACUUCUCUAGUAGAUUCACAGAGAAUACAGCUCACAAAAAAAUAAGAAGGGGAAUCAAGGAAGAAAAAUAUUUCCUCCCCCAUGAAGACCUAUUGUUUUGGGUUCUGGUUCCAUGCUGGAAUCCUUAGCUCAGUAUUUGGAUUCUUUUAGAACACCGUUUAUUAUACAUUUCGUGCCCAGUGUUAGAAACACUAUCAUUUCAUUAAUGGACUGAAGGUCUGAAGCCUGAUAAUCACACAGGUUUAAUUAUGCUAGAUGUUAGCUCAUCAUAUAUUUCAGUGAAUCUAUUUUAAUUUCUCGCCCAUCAGCUAAUCCACCUACUCAUUUCUUACUGGAUCUCAUUUCUUACCUGGUUCAAACACUGGCUCAUGGUUUGAUCAUUCAUGUCUGUCACACUCCACCUCAAGCCUCACCUUUCACACAUGGUUUGAUGAAACCAUAGUUUAUCCUGUGCAGGUGUAAUAAACUAGAGUUUGACCAAACCAAUAAGUGAGGGAAAAGAUUUUCGGUGAAUCAAUAUAUCUGAUAUGUAUGAUUAUAUACUCACACAGAGUCUGCAAAAUCGGACUUCUGCAGUUUAGUUUUGUAUAAUGUCUCUGUCUCAUUCUCAAACUCUAUAAAGAAUUAUGCUAUUCUUAAAGAAACUCCUUUUAUGGUUCUGUCUCUGAGUCAACUUUAAUCCAGCAGCCAAUCCAGCCCAUGAGUCUGUGUCCUGAGAUUGUUGCAGAGCUUAAUUAUAAUAAAUGCAUGUAAAGCUUCCGGAAAUCCCUUGUACCUGAUUGAAGGUACACAAGCACCCCAAUUUGUUAUUACAUGUUUUCAUCCCUGCAAAACAGUCUCUCAGUUUUAAAUUUACACUAAAUAUCUCACCUCUUGCCCUCCUCUUUUUUUUUUUAAGGUUACAGCUAAGCAUUUAAAAUUACUUUGCCCAAUGUUGGAAAAGAUAUGCAGGAGUAGCCGUGCAAUUCUUGGAACUGAUUAAACCAAAUCUUUUUCAACUGGAAGCUGAAACACUUUAUCAGGCAGAGACAGCACCUACAAAGCAAAUUCAAUGGAAUCACCUGUGCCCCUAAUAGUAAUAAAGUGGAAAGCAGACACUACAGCUGCAACCAGAAUAAUAAAAGAGGUAGAGCUUCUACUCUCUAUAAAGUUAUUCCAC